AACCAUUUAUGAUGUUGCGUUGUAAAUAAUAUUGAAUAAAACUCUGUUCUUAUGAGCUUAAUAUCUGACACGGGUCCUAUUUGGUCCCAUGAUAUUGAACUUAUUUUUGGAUUAGGGUGGAGUGCUUGAAGUUUGCUUCACCUCCGCUACGGGUUAGCCCAGUUUUGCACUAUCUCUGGAAUCGGCCUGUUCACC
rnacentral:snRNA from 1 species